rnacentral:rRNA from 1 species
UCCUGGAGAGAUUUGGGAGUGCCCGAAAGGGAGCCGGAACACAGGUGCUGCAUGGCUGUCGUCAGCUCGUGUCGUGAGAUGUUGGGUUAAGUCCCGCAACGAGCGCAACCCUUGUCGUUAAUUGCCAUCAUUUAGUUGGGCACUUUAACGAGACUGCCGGUGACAAACCGGAGGAAGGUGGGGAUGACGUCAAGUCCUCAUGGCCCUUAUGGGUAGGGCUUCACACGUCAUACAAUGGUCGGUACAGAGGGUUGCCAAGCCGCGAGGUGGAGCCAAUCCCAGAAAGCCGAUCGUAGUCCGGAUCGUAGUCUGCAACUCGACUGCGUGAAGUCGGAAUCGCUAGUAAUCGCGGAUCAGCAUGUCGCGGUGAAUACGUUCCCGGGUCUUGUACACACCGCCCGUCACACCAUGGGAGCGGGUUCCGCCAGAAGUAGGUAGCCUAACCGCAAGGGAGGCGCUUACCACGGCGGGGUUCGUGACUGGGGUGAAGUCGUAACAAGGUAGCCGUAGGGGAACCUGCGGCUGGAUCACCUCCUUUCUG